rnacentral:lncRNA from 1 species
GAGAGAUCUGUGCAAGUUUACAGUGAGUGAGUGUCAGGACUAGGAUUGGAGGAACUCUCUCUCUUGGCUUCUGACCCACCCUGGGAUCCAGGAGAAAGAAUAAGUUCCUACUCUGGGCUAUUUGCUUUAGAUGGGCAGGGACUUUGAAGGGUUUGCUCUCCAGGUUUUACAAAGCCCAUGUCUCAGGGCUGCUCACAACUUUGCUGGUCAGAGGAAGGUCUGCUUUGCUUUUUUUCCUGGCUUCUGGAACCAGAACUUCCCAAUAUGCACUGCUCAGCUGGAGCCCCCAGCCCACUGCCGUCUCCUGUCUUCAUGUUCCAGAACCCUCUUCCAGCAAAGAAGAGUCCGCUGGUACCACAGCUGGGUGGAGUCCAUGUUUUCUGGGUGGAAGCUGUGUCCUGCCAGGAAGCUUUUCAAAAAAGGAAACUUCUCCCCGCCCUGACCCAUGACCCACUCUGCCUCCAGCCUGGGCAGGUGAGGCAUGCCACUCAUUGUCCUGGGCUCAUCCCAGCCCCUCCCUUGCCGGGCAGGACUUGGACGGCCAGAACAGGCACACACAGGCUGUGUGGCCUAAAGGAUAUCAAGGGCGAGGCAGGUGGUGGCAGGGCAGUAAGUUCGAUGCUGUGUGUUACCUGCACGAGUCACUUCCUCCCCUGGGCUUCCACCUCCCCUCCUGUCAUAAAGGCCAUGCCACCCGCUCUACACACAGAGUGAGGAUGUAGAGGGUGGGCUUAAGUUCUGAAAACACACCUGUCUUGCAUAGGGGACGUUUAUUGAUUUUUCAACCUCUUCUAAUAAAC